GGUUCCGUAGUGUAGUGGGUACCCGCUCGCUUCACAUGUGAGAGAUUCUAGGUUCGAGCCCCAGUAGAAUCA
rnacentral:tRNA from 1 species